UACAGAGGGGGCAAGCGUUAUUCGGAAUUAUUGGGCGUAAAGGGCGCGUAGGCGGUUUUUUAAGUCAGAUGUGUAAUCCCCGAGCUCAACUUGGGAACUGCAUCUGAGACUGGAAGGCUAGAGUACUGGAGAGGGUGGUGGAAUUCCACGUGUAGCAGUGAAAUGCGUAGAUAUGUGGAGGAAUACCGAUGGCGAAGGCAGCCCCCUGGGAUAACACUGACGCUCAUGCACGAAAGCGUGGGGAGCAAACAGGAUUAGAUACCCGUGUAGU
rnacentral:rRNA from 1 species